rnacentral:rRNA from 1 species
GACGAACGCUGGCGGCGUGCUUAACACAUGCAAGUCGAACGAAGUGGCGAACGGGUGAGUAACGCGUAAUCAACCUGCCCUGCAGGGGGGAACAACAGUAGGAAACGGCUGCUAAUACCGCAUACUGAAGGAGGGGAUUGGGUGGGAUUAGCUAGUUGGGGGGGUAACGGCCCACCACGGCGAUGAUCAGUAGCCGGUCUGGGAGGAUGAACGGCCACAUUGGGACUGAGACACGGCCCAGACUCCUACGGGAGGCAGCAGUGGGGAAUGUUCCGCAAUGGAGGAAAGGCUGACGGAGCAACGCCGCGUGAGUGAUGACGGCCUUCGGGUUGUAAAGCUCUGUUAAUCGGGACGCGGUACCGGAAUAGAAAGCCACGGCUAACUACGUGCCAGCCGCCGCGGUAAUUC